ACACAUACUGUAUCCUCCUACACAGUUCCAUGUGUUGUUCUGUCUCCUUCAGGACCAUGCAGGGAGUGGAAAAUCCCCAUUUUCCCCUCACAGCUUCUCCCUUUAGUGAGUGUGUAGAGACAGAAGUGGAAUGACCUGGGGACACGAGACUGUGAAGUCCAGCAGAAAGUAAAAGCUGAUGAGCUAAUGACAGCAGACUCUCUGCCACAUGUCUAAUGGGAAAGGAUAUUUCUAGAAAAUGUUUUUGUGAGAAACAGGAGGAAAUCAUUUGGGAAGGAAAUAAAACACUCAAAACCAGAAACAAGAAUGGAGAAGGAAAGAUUUCCUUCCUCACAUCUUUCAUGCUUUCCACUGAGAAGAAAACAUCAUAGAUGCUCCAUACCACCAAAUUGUAAACCCACUGGAAAUCAAGCGCUGGCUGAUAAGUGAUUAUCAUACUCAUAAGACCUUUUUUCCUAAAAUAAGAACAUAAAAAGACUGCCUCAAAAGCCAAAAUUGUGUACAAAUCUCUUUACAGUUUGUAUUUCUACGAGAAUUUAUACAAGAAAGCUGGAAAUAUAGGGUAAACCAGAAGCCUGUCUUGAAGCCUGACAUCUGGCAUAUGGCUGUGUCUUGGUCUGACCAGAAGCAUUGUCCUAGAAAUCCCAUCACUAUGUGAAGCUCCACCCUGUGAUCUCAAGUGUUCUGAGAAUAUGUAACAUGCAAGAUAAGGAAAGCAGAUACCUGUCUUGACAGUAGACUGAUUCCUUUAGAAAGAGCCUAAGGAUAUGAGGGAAGGUGACAAAGCUAAUUCUGGAGGAAUGCAUUCGAUCUACUUGGCCAGACUCUGCCAGCAAGAAAUGCCUCUUUCACACCUGUGUUAAUGAUAGUUCUGACAUGUGUGUUCUGCCCUCAUAUAUCAGCAGAAGCUCACUUUAUCAUGGAUGUAAUUAACCUAGCCUUGCCCGUGGCAAAGAACACAGCAGCCCUCUCAUGGCAUGAAUCAGCAAAACACUCAAACACCAGCCCUGACUGAAUUCGCAGAGAUUUAACAUUUGUUUGAUGUCAGUCCCAUCAGAACAGUUCAGUCCAACAGCAAACUCUGAGCAGAAGCCCACUGAUGAUGUCAAAGAGUACUCAAUGCCCCUGUGGUGUGAAACACAGAAUUUUAUAUUUCCACUUUCUGCCACACUAGACCCACAAAGAACUUCAUUUGGCAGUGUUUUUAUAACAAAGAACCGUGCCAGUCUUUUACUAGAACCAGAACUUGUAAUGGUCUGGCCUCAGAGCUAAAUGUGUCUUUUCAAAUGUACUUAAUUCAAAAAGUUUGUUCAUGAAUUAAAAAAGUCUGUCUCUUUGGUACUGCAUUCCAAUACAGAUUGUAAGCAAAUAGACAAAUUAAAGUGAAUUGGAGCUUUCAGUCCCUUCUCCUGUGUAGCUAUCCCUGGUGAAUUUAACUGAAUCCAUGAAUAAACCUCUUCUUUUAAAUGAAUGUUGGAAAAGAGAAAAAUUUUAAAAUACU